UACGUAGGUGGCAAGCGUUGUCCGGAUUUAUUGGGUCUAAAGGGUGCGUAGGCGGCCUUAUAAGUCAGUGCUGAAAUAUCCCGGCUUAACCGGGAGGGUGGCAUUGAUACUGUAGGGCUUGAGUGUAGUCGAGGUAGGCGGAAUUGACGGUGUAGCGGUGAAAUGCUUAGAUAUCGUCAAGAACACCGAUAGUGUAGACAGCUUACUAGGCUACAACUGACGCUGAGGCACGAAAGUGUGGGGAUCAAACAGG
rnacentral:rRNA from 1 species